rnacentral:rRNA from 1 species
AGUGAACGCUGGCGGUAGGCCUAACACAUGCAAGUCGAACGGUAACAGGUCUUCGGAUGCUGACGAGUGGCGAACGGGUGAGUAAUACAUCGGAACGUGCCUAGUAGUGGGGGAUAACUACUCGAAAGAGUGGCUAAUACCGCAUGAGAUCUACGGAUGAAAGCAGGGGAUCGCAAGACCUUGUGCUACUAGAGCGGCCGAUGGCAGAUUAGGUAGUUGGUGGGAUAAAAGCUUACCAAGCCGACGAUCUGUAGCUGGUCUGAGAGGACGAUCAGCCACACUGGGACUGAGAAACGGCCCAGACUCCUACGGGAGGCAGCAGUGGGGAAUUUUGGACAAUGGGCGCAAGCCUGAUCCAGCAAUGCCGCGUGCAGGAUGAAGGCCUUCGGGUUGUAAACUGCUUUUGUACGGAACGAAAAGCCCCGGGUUAAUACCCUGGGGUCAUGACGGUACCGUAAGAAUAAGCACCGGCUAACUACGUGCCAGCCGCCGCUGUAA